GCCCUCGUGGAUCUUGGUGAUCGCUCUUGUUGCAUUCCACUGAUGCUGAAGAUUUCGGGAGAGGCGGAGGUUCGAAUCCUCCUGCGGGCA